GGCUUAGAGUUUGAUCAUGGCUCAGGAUAAACGCUGGCGGCGCACAUAAGACAUGCAAGUCGAACGGACUUAAUCGAUUCUUUUAGAUUCGAAGCGGUUAGUGGCGGACUGGUGAGUAACACGUAAGCAACCUACCUAUUAGAGGGGAAUAACAGUGAGAAAUCACUGCUAAAACCGCAUAUGCCGUGAACAUCGCAUGAUGAAAACGGGAAAAGAGCAAUCUGCUAAUAGAUGGGCUUGCGUCUGAUUAGCUAGUUGGUGUGGUAACGGCAUACCAAGGCAACGAUCAGUAGCCGGACUGAGAGGUUGAACGGCCACAUUGGGACUGAGAUACGGCCCAGACUCCUACGGGAGGCAGCAGUCGGGAAUAUUGCGCAAUGGAGGAAACUCUGACGCAGUGACGCCGCGUAUGGGAAGAAGGUUUUCGGAUUGUAAACCAUUUUAGACAAGGAAGAAACAAGACAGUACUUGUAGAAUAAGCUCCGGCUAACUACGUGCCAGCAGCCGCGGUAAUACGUAGGGAGCAAGCGUUAUCCGGAUUUAUUGGGUGUAAAGGGUGCGUAGACGGGAAGGUAGUUAGUUGUGAAAUCCCUCGGCUCAACUGAGGAACUGCGACUAAAACUGCUUUUCUUGAGUGCUGGAGAGGAAAGUGGAAUUCCUAGUGUAGCGGUGAAAUGCGUAGAUAUUAGAGGAACACCAGUGGCGAAAGCGACUUUCUGGACAGUAACUGACGUUGAGGCACGAAAGUGUGGGGAGCAAACAGGAUUAGAUACCCUGGUAGUCNNACCGUAAACGAUGGAUACUAGUGUAGGGGAUAUUAAGUCUCUGUGCGUCGCAACGCAGUAGUAUCCACCUGGGAGUACGCCGC
rnacentral:rRNA from 1 species